AAGGCAAAGACCAGGUAGAACUGGAACUGCACUCAUGAUUCUUUGUUAACACAACAAACGUAAAGAAAUGCGAUCCAAUCUACGGUUAGACACAUAUUAGGCUACAAUGCACAAUCAUUUAGGCUACAAUUCUAUACAAGCGAAGCGGCGCACACGUUAGCCGGCUGGUGGCUAUCUAACUUUACUUGGACUAGACCACUAUGUUUAGCUGCCGCAACAAGACCAAUCUUUUGAAAGCGUUCCGAGACCUCUCAACAGAAGAAAGAUUGAAGUGUUUAUCGGAAACGCCGGAGAGCUUAGUGAGUUUUGUGAAACUCUACUUGGACUGAUGGCCGUCACACGCAUCAGUAAGCUCUCGUCAGAGCAGGAGCAUGGCCGACAAACGCGUGCCGGGAUGUCGGACUGACCGUGAUGCACAGGUAGGCUAGAGAAUGUGAAGGGGGAAAAGGAAGUCGCCAUCUUGGACACGUGGCUGCCUCCGAAGGUGUCCGCCAAGGCAGGCUUCAUUGUAUGUGGAUAUACCUGGCGAUGGUAUUGCGGUAUAGGGGAGUGGACUGUGACCCCAGUGUUAUAGACACGAUUCCCUGGAGGGCCCAACCUUCAUACCCCUGGACCAGCCAUUGCCCGUAUUGGCCCGGGAGCUGUUACAGAUGAAAGCCUGUCUUUGUGUUGAGCGAAGCACUCGCUAAGCACUGCUGUUUAAGAGACCGAGGGGUUUUACGGUGAUGGCUGAAUCCUGGAGCCAGACCAUGUGAUAGACGGUUCCGCAGAUACCUGGAUAAAUGCAUCAGAAGAUCUGCAGGUGGCGUUAAAAUGGUGACAAGUCAUUCCAGCGUCCAGCUACUCGGCAGAGCUGUGUGAUCUGUGCUGUGGGGCUGCCCGGAUUGUUCCGUUAAGAAAAAAAUGCAAGAAAGCGCUUGGAAAAAUCACACCUUGGAAAAAUGUAGAUAAGCUCCAGUGUGUUGCAGCGACCUUAAAAUGGGCAAACUGAAAUCUUACUGGGGAAACCUGAACAGUCUCAGCAAGUGACCAAAGCAAAAAAUAGCCAGAAAUGUCUGGCAAUAGUGUUCACACAUUUGAUAGGUAGGGUUUCAGAACGCUUUCUGAUCAGUAGGGGAAACUAUAAAUAAUAGGAAAGUAAUAAGUGAUAAAUUAUGAUAUCGUUGUAAUAGACAACGAAUGAGAUGUAUACAUUUAAUAUGAAUAAAUAUCAUGAAUACAAUGUGUUUCAAGACAUUUUUGCUGAAAAACCUGUUUAACUGAUAAUGAGAAAAAUACAUAAUACUAUAGUUAGGGUCAAUAAAGUGUUUUCAUGUAUGAAUUCAAAAUGCCUUUUAUUGGUGCUGAUGCAAAGGCAAUCAUGUUUAUAAUAUAGCAGUGGUGAAAUAAAUGAAUUAUGAUGUGUUUAAAGAAUUUUAUGAUCAAUAAUGUGUUUUCAUGGAAAAUGGGAAAAUACAUAAGACUAUAGUCUUAUGUCCAAAAUGGGGUGAAAAGUGGCACCUAUUCCAAAUUGCCAAUUUUUGGUACCGAUGCAAAGGCUAUCAUAUUUACAAUAUAGCUGUGGUGAAAUAAAUGAAUUAUGAUGUGUUUAAAGAAUUUUAUGAUCAAUAAAGAGUUUUCAUGUAUAAAUUCAAAAUGCCUUUUAUUGGUACUGAUGCAUAGGGAAUCAUGUUUAUAAUACAGCUGUGGUGAAAUAAAUGAAUUAUGAUGUGUUUAAAGAAUUUUAUGAUCAAUAAUGUGUUUUCAUGGAAAAUGGGAAAAUACAUAAGACUAUAGUCUUAUGUCCAAAAUGGGGUCAAAAGUGGCACCUAUUCCAAAUUGCCAAUUUUUGGUACCGAUGCAUAGGGAAUCAUAUUUAUAAUACAGCUGUGGUAAAAUAAAUGAAUUAUGAUGUGUUUAAAGAAUUUUAUGAUCAAUAAAGUGUUUUCAUGCAUAAAUUCAAAAUGCCUUUUAUUGGUGCUGAUGCAAAGGCUAUCAUAUUUACAAUAUAGCUGUGGUGAAAUAAAUGAAUUAUGAUGUGUUUAAAGAAUUUUAUGAUCAAUAAAGUGUUUUCAUGUAUAAAUUCAAAAUGCCUUUUAUUGGUACUGAUGCAUAGGGAAUCAUGUUUAUAAUACAGCUGUGGUGAAAUAAAUGAAUUAUGAUGUGUUUAAAGAAUUUUAUGAUCAAUAAUGUGUUUUCAUGGAAAAUGGGAAAAUACAUAAGACUAUAGUCUUAUGUCCAAAAUGGGGUGAAAAGUGGCACCUAUUCCA